ACGACAGAGCGGGGGUGCCCCACGGGGCUGAGAGAUACCCUUGGAACCUGACCCGGUUCGCACCGGCGUAGGGAAGCUUUGCCGACCCAGCC
rnacentral:ncRNA from 2 species